GGCCAGACUCCUACGGGAGGCAGCAGUGAGGAAUAUUGGUCAAUGGGCGGAAGCCUGAACCAGCCAAGUCGCGUGAGGGAGUAAGGCCCUACGGGUCGUAAACCUCUUUUGCCGGGGAGCAGUGCCCAGCUCGUGAGCUGGGAGGGAGCGUACCCGGAGAAAAAGCAUCGGCUAACUCCGUGCCAGCAGCCGCGGUAAUACGGAGGAUGCGAGCGUUAUCCGGAUUUAUUGGGUUUAAAGGGUGCGUAGGCGGCCUUCCAGGCGGGGGAAAAAUUGCGGGGCCCCACCCCCGCCGAGCCGUCGGAACCGGGGGCCUUGAGUACCGGAGAAGUACGCGGAAUGCGUGGUGUAGCGGUGAAAUGCAUAGAUAUCACGCAGAACCCCGAUUGCGAAGGCAGCGUACCGGCCGGUCACUGACGCUGAGGCACGAAAGCGCGGGUAUCGAACAGGAUUAGAUACCCGGGUA
rnacentral:rRNA from 1 species